GAUGAACGCUAGCGGCAGGCCUAACACAUGCAAGUCGAGGGGUAGAACACUUCGGUGUUUGAGACCGGCGCACGGGUGCGUAACGCGUAUGCAAUCUACCUUGUACAGGGGAAUAGCCCAGAGAAAUUUGGAUUAAUGCCCCAUAGUAUAUAACCUUCGCAUGUUGGUUAUAUUAAAGUUCCAACGGUACAAGAUGAGCAUGCGUCCCAUUAGUUAGUUGGUAAGGUAACGGCUUAACAAGACGAUGAUGGGUAGGGGUCCUGAGAGGGAGAUCCCCCACACUGGUACUGAGACACGGACCAGACUCCUACGGGAGGCAGCAGUGAGGAAUAUUGGUCAAUGGGCGCAAGCCUGAACCAGCCAUGCCGCGUGCAGGAAGACGGUCCUAUGGAUUGUAAACUGCUUUUAUACAGGAAGAAACAACUCUACGUGUAGAGUCUUGACGGUACUGUAGGAAUAAGGAUCGGCUAACUCCGUGCCAGCCGCCGCAGUAAGAC
rnacentral:rRNA from 1 species